CGUCAUCCUCACAGCGGAGUAAGUCGGCUCGGAUACGUCGAACUUAAAUCGAUUCCCCCCCCCUCCCAGUGUAGACCUAGCCUAAGACUCCCUCCCUCCCUCAUGCUUAAAUAAAGCUAUUUUCCUGCAGUCUGAAUGUUGGUAAAUAUUACCUUGAGGCCACCCACAUCUGCUGUUUGGGUUUAGGCAUUAGAAAAGCAUUCAGUCUGGCUGGUCAUUAACUUUGUACAGAAUAAGCGACUUUAGAAAGCAGAACCUUAUCAAGGCAGAUUAUCAAAAAGGCCUUUAAAUCUGUACUUAUAAUUUUUCAUGUUGAUGACAUUGGACAUGAACAUUUUGGGUGCCAAAAUAUUCAGAAUAACAAGAUCAGUGUGUAUACACACUUGCUAUUUUCACAUACAGCGCUGAGGUUAGAUAUGUCAGAAAACACGAACACCCAAAACUGGAGGUCUGAACGUGUAAGCCGGGUUGAGGACACUUUCAAAACCAGGACCAGACGUGUGUUCUCAUCGCAUCAUUCUCCUUUCUGUCUGUGCUCAGGGUAUGAGAAAAAAGCUGCAAUGUAAAAAAAACAACCAACUGGGAGGUUACUGAUUAAAAGCCAAGAAUACAAGACAGGAACAACUGUUAGGCUACGCAAUUGCUGAAGAUAAUUAAAGCAUCUGAAGCAAGCUGAGUUGAACAGCAAGUAAACAAAUGAACAGAACACUCCACCCUUCCUCUUAUUUGAAUGCUGUGCAGUUAAUUGAGAAUGUGAUCGACCAGUCCUUCCCUUGCUGCCAGGGCAAACUCUUGUAAAUUUACGUCGCCAGUCUUCUACAGAGCAACAGCAGCACUUGCCCUUCCGCUUGCCGUUUGUUUGGACAGCCAGUGGCACUGCUCAGGGAGACAGUAAGACAUAAUGGAUCUGAAUCUCACAUCUGCGUGGUAUGAGUGGGUGUUCUGCUGUGUACACUGUUGUAUCGUGGGAGGACGGGGUAUCACUGCCAUUUUGGUUGCUGCAGUAACUCCACUAUGACACAAAAAAUCCCUUCCCAGUCAGUACACAAAGAGGAAUAUGAAGAAGGUGAUUUGCAGUCCCUGCUAUAUUGUGCUGUUUGUUGUAAUAACAGGAUAAGUAACAGGCAGGAAAAGAUGGAGUUGAGGGUUUCCCCACCCCUGCGUCUAUUUAUCCCUCUUGACCUCUGAGCAUCACCUUUCAGGCAGCCAGCUCACAGCAUCUGUGAGCUGGAGUUCUUUGUUCCUUUUCCCUAGACCAAAAUUAUCCACCUUUUCAAAACACAAUUGGUGAGAUAUUUAGUUAGUGUAAAUCAGCAUGGAUCGAUUGACUUCAGUGCUCUGCAGAACUCUGGUGACUUGCAUUGACUUCAAUAGAGCUAGCCAAUUUACACCAGCUGAGAAUCUGCUCCCAUACCACUAACUCUUUUAAACCUGUACAUGUAACCUCAGUUCUUCAUUCAGUUCUUCCUAAGGCACAACUCCAGUUGAAGUCCAUCAACUUUGCUCAAGUAAGGGCUGUUGUACGCUAGAAAAUUCAAAGUCCAAAUUACAAACUCUUGGCAGAUGAGAUUCACCUAAGGAGAGUUCCGGGGAAACAAAAUGUCAUUGCUCUGUUGGAUGGGGGCAGAGGGGGGGAGGGGGACGCGAGGAGGAGAAGGAAUCAUUGCAUUGGCUGAAAGUGUAAACUGUCUGCUAAGACUUUAUAUGAAGAACUGGUGUGGGGUGAAUCAGGCCUGAAGCACUGUCUUGUGCAAUAGCCAGUCAGCAGGAAGAACAUACUGUCAUUGCCCUGGGAACACCCUCAAGUAGCAUCUUACCCACUUCGCUACAGUUGGAACACACCCAAAGGAGCAGUGCACAUAGGGACCUAUGCACAUGUUGACUGUCUUCCCAUUUCAUUGUGCAGGCGGCAGCACAGGAACGCCGUCUGAGUACUCUACAGGAUGUGGUGUACAUUGGAGUAAUAGUCAGGCUGAAGUGCUGCUGUCUUGACUACCUUUUCUAUUAAGAUAACAAAUAAAAAUGUGUUGAAGAACUGGAAAA